UGGGGAAUAUUGGACAAUGGGCGCAAGCCUGAUCCAGCAAUGCCGCGUGGGUGAAGAAGGUCUUCGGAUUGUAAAGCCCUUUCGACAGGGACGAUGAUGACGGUACCUGUAGAAGAAGCCCCGGCUAACUUCGUGCCAGCAGCCGCGGUAAUACGAAGGGGGCUAGCGUUGCUCGGAAUUACUGGGCGUAAAGGGCGCGUAGGCGGCGCUGCAAGUCAGGCGUGAAAUUCCUGGGCUUAACCUGGGGGCUGCGCUUGAGACUGUGGUGCUAGAGGAUGGAAGAGGGUCGUGGAAUUCCCAGUGUAGAGGUGAAAUUCGUAGAUAUUGGGAAGAACACCGGUGGCGAAGGCGGCGACCUGGUCCAUUACUGACGCUGAGGCGCGACAGCGUGGGGAGCAAA
rnacentral:rRNA from 1 species